UACAGAGGGGGGCAAGCGUUAUUCGGAAUUAUUGGGCGUAAAGGGCGCGUAGGCGGCCUGACAAGUGGAAGGUGAAAUCCCUCGGCUCAACUGAGGAACUGCCCUCCAAACUGUUUGGCUUGAGACCGGGAGAGGUGAGUGGAAUUCCCAGUGUAGCGGUGAAAUGCGUAGAUAUUGGGAGGAACACCAGUGGCGAAGGCGGCUCACUGGACCGGAACUGACGCUGAGGCGCGAAAGCGUGGGGAGCAAACGGG
rnacentral:rRNA from 1 species